AUUGAACGCUGGCGGCACGCCUAACACAUGCAAGUCGAGCGGCAGCGAGACUAGUAGCAAUACUAGUUGUCGGCGAGCGGCGGACGGGUGAGUAACACGUAGGAAUCUGCCCUUAAGCGGGGGAUAACCAAGGGAAACUUUGGCUAAUACCGCAUAAUCUCGAGAGAGCAAAGCUGCCCGCAAGGGUGGCACUUGAGGAGGAGCCUGCGUCCGAUUAGCUAGUUGGUGGGGUAAUGGCCUACCAAGGCGAUGAUCGGUAACUGGUCUGAGAGGACGACCAGUCACACUGGGACUGAGACACGGCCCAGACUCCUACGGGAGGCAGCAGUGGGGAGUAUUGGACAAUGGGGGCAACCCUGAUCCAGCGAUGCCGCGUGAGUGAAGAAGGCCUUCGGGUCGUAAAGCUCUUUAGGUUGGGAAGAAGGGUAUUGGCUGAAUAAUCCAGUACUUUGACGGUACCGACAGAAUAAGCACCGGCAAACUCUGUGCCAGCAGCCGCAGUAAGAC
rnacentral:rRNA from 1 species